GGCGAACGGGUGAGUAAUACAUCGGAACGUGCCCAGUCGUGGGGGAUAACUACUCGAAAGAGUAGCUAAUACCGCAUACGAUCUGAGGAUGAAAGCGGGGGACCUUCGGGCCUCGCGCGAUUGGAGCGGCCGAUGGCAGAUUAGGUAGUUGGUGGGAUAAAAGCUUACCAAGCCGACGAUCUGUAGCUGGUCUGAGAGGACGACCAGCCACACUGGGACUGAGACACGGCCCAGACUCCUACGGGAGGCAGCAGUGGGGAAUUUUGGACAAUGGGCGAAAGCCUGAUCCAGCAAUGCCGCGUGCAGGAUGAAGGCCUUCGGGUUGUAAACUGCUUUUGUACGGAACGAAAAAGCUCCUUCUAAUACAGGGGGCCCAUGACGGUACCGUAAGAAUAAGCACCGGCUAACUACGUGCCAGCAGCCGCGGUAAUACGUAGGGUGCGAGCGUUAAUCGGAAUUACUGGGCGUAAAGCGUGCGCAGGCGGUUAUGUAAGACAGAUGUGAAAUCCCCGGGCUCAACCUGGGAACUGCAUUUGUGACUGCAUGGCUAGAGUACGGUAGAGGGGGAUGGAAUUCCGCGUGUAGCAGUGAAAUGCGUAGAUAUGCGGAGGAACACCGAUGGCGAAGGCAAUCCCCUGGA
rnacentral:rRNA from 1 species